rnacentral:rRNA from 1 species
GACGAACGCUGGCGGCGUGGAUUAGGCAUGCAAGUCGAACGGUAUCAUCCUUUCGGGGGUGAGAGAGUGGCGAACUGGUGAGUAACACGUAGGUUAUCUACCCUCAAGACGGGGACAACCCAGGGAAACUUGGGCUAAUACCGGAUGUGAGCAACUUUUAGUUGUUUGAAAGGUGGCGUAAGCUGUCGCUUGGGGAUGAGCCUGCGUCCUAUUAGUUAGUUGGUGAGGUAACGGCUCACCUAGGCAAUGAUAGGUAGGCGGCCUUAACGGGUGGUCGCCCACACUGGGAUUGAGAUACGGCCCAGACUCCUACGGGAGGCAGCAGUCGAGAAUAGUCUACAAUGGUCGGAAGACUGAUAGUGCGACGCCGCGUGAACGAUGAAAUCCCUUCGGGGUGUAAAGUUCUUUUAUAUGUGAGCAGUGCUUCUUAUAUUAACAGUAUGGGGAGAGAGAUAUUAGCAUAUGAAUAAGCAACGGCUAACUCCGUGCCAGCAGCCGCGGUAAAACU